rnacentral:lncRNA from 1 species
AAGUACUCAAGGAGCUAAAGAGAUCUGCAACCCUAUAGGUGCAACAACAUUAUGAACUAACCAGUACCCUGGAGCUCUUGACUCUAGCUGCAUAUGUAUCAAAAGAUGGCCUAGUCAGACAUCACUGGAAAUAGAGGCCCUUUGGACACGCAAACUUUAUAUGCCCCAGUACAGGGGAACGCCAGGGCCAAAAAAUGGGAAUGGGUGGGUAGGGAAGUGGGGGGAAGGGUAUGGGAGAUUUUUGGGAUAGCAUUCUAAAUGUAAUUGAGGAAAAUACGUAAUAAUAAAAAAUAUAUUAAAAAAUAAUAAAGAAGUAGGACUGAAAAAAAAAAAAAGCUGAACUUCCCCAGGAUUCGGGUGUUUGCUUUUUCCUCUUUCUGGCUGGCAGUGCCACUUAGUGAGGUUGUAAGACCUCGAGGAGAUGAUGUGGCUCUAAAUAUUAAGGUGCAAUGUGAGAAGAUGUGUACCACUGUGGGCAGGCUUUUCCAUUCCAUAGUUGAGUCCACUUGACUUUCUCUCUUCCUGACUUGAAGAUUGAGUGACCAGUUUCCUCCAGCUCCUGCCUUGCCUCCUGCAUCUGAUGGAAUUCCUUCCUCCCACUGAGAAUCAAACAACACCUUCUGUCUUUGAGUUGUUUCUCCUUUGGUGUUUUGUUUCAGCAAUGAGGAAUGUAACUAAUAAAGACCUAAGUGGGAAAACAAAAUCAUUUUAAUUCUAUCAUCAUUAUAUAUUUUUUUUUUAAAUAUGAAGAAUGAAACUGCCUCUCUCCCUCUGGGAGAGAUAUCCCUUUUCCUUUAAUUAAAAAAUUGUCAAAUCCAUCUCUGUCCCAUUACUUACAUGAUCCAUGGCCUGUAAGGAUUAUAAUACUUUUAAAGAGCAAACUUGGUUCAUUUUUGCAGUGGAAAUUGGUUAGAGGAAUUUGCUAAGAGGGAGGCUUAGCUCUUUAAAUUCCCCUUGGUGUAAAAUCUCACUGGUAGUGAUUAAAAUGUCUCUUUUCC